GACCAAGUAUUACUUUAUACACAAUUUGCCCGGUUUAUUCAGCAAAAAUGUCGUUGUUAGAUUAAACAACUUUUUAAGUGAUUGUUAAAAAAUAGUGUGAGGGGAAUUUUUUCAGAAAUGAUUAAUCAGCUAUUAUAACAAAAAUUAGAAACGAUGGUGGUUAGGCUAUGAAUACGAAGAAAAGAAUUAGGAGCAUCUUCCAGACUUUUUCAUAGGUCGGAAAAAGAGGAUCCAGAAACAUAUA